UCCCGGCUGCAGCGCGCCGCCUGGGUGUCUGGGCGCUCCAUGGGCAGCAGCGAGGGCCGCGAUGACCGAUUUCGGCGAGGAGCAGCGCAACGAGCUGGAGGCUCUGGAGUCCAUCUACCCCGACUCUUUUACAGUAUUAUCAGAAAAUCCUCCCAGCUUCACCAUUACUGUGACAUCUGAGGCUGGAGAAAAUGAUGAAACUGUCCAGACUACCCUCAAGUUUACAUACAGUGAGAAAUAUCCAGAUGAAGCCCCCCUUUAUGAAAUAUUCUCGCAGGAAAAUCUAGAAGAUAAUGAUGUCUCAAGUAUUUUAAAAUUAUUAGCAUUACAGGCAGAAGAAAACCUUGGUAUGGUGAUGAUCUUUACUUUAGUGACAGCUGUGCAGGAAAAAUUAAAUGAAAUAGUGGAUCAAAUAAAAACUAGAAGAGAAGAAGAAAAGAAACAAAAAGAAAAAGAAGCAGAAGAAGCCGAAAAGCAAUUAUUUCAUGGCACUCCUGUUACAAUUGAGAAUUUCUUAAGUUGGAAAGCCAAGUUUGAUGCAGAACUCUUGGAAAUUAAAAAGAAACGAAUGAAAGAAGAAGAACAAGCAGGAAAAAAUAAAUUAAGUGGGAAACAGCUAUUUGAAACAGAUCAUAAUCUUGACACAUCUGAUAUCCAGUUCUUGGAGGAGGUCUAUUAAAAGGAAAAAAAAGGUCAUGGACCCUCCAGACUUGGCAUACAGAAGUAGAAACCCUGCCAUUUUCAACAACGUGAAUAAGUAUGGACAACACAGACAUACGUAUGUUGAACUUUAAAGGCUAUAAUUUUGAAUUUUCUCUAGCUGAUCUUGACUUUCUAGAAAAUCUAGAUGAUUUUGAAAUUAGAGAUGAUGAUGUCUUCAUAAUUACAUAUCCAAAAUCUGGUACCAUUGGAGACUGGAAACAUCACUUUACAGUGGAUCAAAAUGAAAGAUUUGACAAAAUAUUCCAAAGGAAGAUGAAAGAUUUUCCUCUGAAGUUCAUCUGGGAUUUAAAUGAGGAGUAGAAUCAGCGCAAAAGAAUUCUAAAAAAAUCUACUAACUAGAGAGCCUAUUUUAACAUAGACAUUAAUUUGUGCUUCUUAUGCAAAUGUUAAUUAUAAAACUUUAUUGAUUAAAAAAUGAGUAUAUGCUUAGAUUAGCUGCCAUGAGUUUGAUAAACACUUUGAAAUUUCAAAAAUUAAAAUGAUUUAGGAGAUAGUUUGCAUUGAUAGCCUGUAUUAUAAACUGAAUAACAGAAAACAUGUAAUGUGAAUUAUAAAUGUUCUGGGAGAGUUUGC